UUGAACGCUGGCGGUAUGCUUAACACAUGCAAGUCGAACGGAAACGAUACUAGCUUGCUAGUAGGCGUCGAGUGGCGGACGGGUGAGUAACGCGUAGGAAUCUGCCUGAUAGUGGGGGAUAGCCCGAAGAAAUUCGGAUUAAUACCGCAUAAUCUAUUCGUAGUAAAGUGGGGGACUUUCGAGCCUCACGCUAUCAGAUGAGCCUGCGUAAGAUUAGCUUGUUGGUAGGGUAAAAGCCUACCAAGGCAACGAUCUUUAGCUGGUCUGAGAGGAUGAUCAGCCACAUCGGGACUGAGACACGGCCCGAACUCCUACGGGAGGCAGCAGUGGGGAAUAUUGGACAAUGGGGGCAACCCUGAUCCAGCAAUACCGCGUGUGUGAAGAAGGCCCGAGGGUUGUAAAGCACUUUCAAUUGUGAAGAAAAGUUAACGGUUAAUAACCGUUAGCCUUGACGUUAACUUUAGAAGGAGCACCGGCUAACUCCGUGCCAGCAGCCGCGGUAAUACGGAGGGUGCAAGCGUUAAUCGGAAUUACUGGGCGUAAAGCGUGCGUAGGCGGUUUAUUAAGUCAGAUGUGAAAGCCCCGGGGCUUAACCUGGGAACUGCAUUUGAAACUGGUCAACUAGAGUAUGGUAGAGGAAAGUGGAAUUUCUGGUGUAGCGGUGAAAUGCGUAGAUAUCAGAAGGAACAUCAAUGGCGAAAGGCAGCUUUCUGGACCAAUACUGACGCUGAGGUACGAAAGCGUGGGUAGCAAACAGGAUUAGAUACCCUGGUAGUCCACGCCGUAAACGAUGAUAACUAGCCGUUGGGGGGAUUUACCCUUUAGUGGCGAAGCUAACGCGUUAAGUUAUCCGCCUGGGGAGUACGGCCGCAAGGUUAAAACUCAAAGGAAUUGACGGGGACCCGCACAAGCGGUGGAGCAUGUGGUUUAAUUCGAUGCAACGCGAAGAACCUUACCUGGUCUUGACAUCCUGCGAACUUUCUAGAAAUAGAUUGGUGCCUUCGGGAACGCAGUGACAGGUGCUGCAUGGCUGUCGUCAGCUCGUGUCGUGAGAUGUUGGGUUAAGUCCCGUAACGAGCGCAACCCCUAUCCUUAUUUGCCAGCACGUCAUGGUGGGAACUAUAAGGAGACUGCCGGUGAUAAACCGGAGGAAGGCGGGGACGACGUCAAGUCAUCAUGGCCCUUACGACCAGGGCUACACACGUGCUACAAUGGGAAGGACAAAGAGCCGCGAAGCCGCGAGGUGUAGCUAAUCUCAGAAAUCUUUUCGUAGUCCGGAUUGGAGUCUGCAACUCGACUCCAUGAAGUCGGAAUCGCUAGUAAUCGUAGAUCAGAAUGCUACGGUGAAUACGUUCCCGGGUCUUGUACACACCGCCCG
rnacentral:rRNA from 1 species